CUCUGAUUGCACUGUGUAGAUCUACUGGCGUGCAGUGGGCUUAUCAAGAAGACAGUGGUAACCUCCGUUUAGAUGGAUCGGGAAGGACUUGUUAUGGAGUUCACAGUUUAUCUGAAUUUCUCCUCAUGAAUGUGGAAGGAAAGCACAAUUCCUUCACGGAGCAAAAAUAACACAUCUUGGGCUCAGCAUUCGGGCUGUCUAGCUGAGGUCGGCCUUGGAUACCCACGCCACAACCGUGCGGACGCGAUGAUCGAGCUGUGGCUGGACACUGCCCUGAGGGAGCGGCAUGAACACUAGCAGAACCUAUUCAUCCAGUUGAGCGAGGGGCGCUUUGGGUUUCUGAGUCCGGAGAAGCCUUUCAGAACAAGAGAGCGCAAGGUCGGUGGUCCGGCUGGACUGGGAAAUCCAGGAGUCAGAACAAAGAACGAAGCAGCGUGAGUAUGCAGAAAGCAGUGUUCUCAAUGACCCGCGAUACCAUCCUCAGGAGUUGUCCUGCUUAAAAUACUGCAGUGGUUUUCGUCUUCCAUCAGGUUUAAUUCUAAAUUAUUUCAUGCAACUCUUAAAGGCCCUGCUUACCUCAGGAGCAGAGUCGAUUUGCCUCUCAGCCAGUCUUCCUCUGUUCGCCCUCCCUGAGGAACGCUCCGCUGUUCACCCGCCUGGGUAACUCCUCCUCAUCCUUCAGGUUUUCCUGUGGUCCUUCCUUUAAAAGGCAUCCCGCGACCUUGCCCAGGAGAACGUGUUAGAUUCCUUUCUUUUUGUGUGCUAAAGAAUCCCGUAUUUUUUCACCCUAAUGUAGCCAUUUAAAAUUGUCUCCUUGUUCGUCUCUAAGGUACGGGUACAUAGAACGUAUUGUCCAAAAUAAAAUACUUUUGAAAUUGAAAAGGAAAAUCUUAACUACAGUUUUGUACAUUUUAAAAUUAGGUAUUUCCUGACAAAGAAGACAAGACCUGUACAAAUUCUAUAAAAUAUUUUAAAAUAAAAU
rnacentral:lncRNA from 1 species